rfam:Citrobacter youngae ATCC 29220 C_sp-1.0.1_Cont1.7, whole genome shotgun sequence.
AGUCAUGGUCUCUAUUCCUAUUCCAAUAGUGAUUGUGAUUAGCGAGGCGCUCGUGUUGCAGCACGGGCGUCUUGCGAA